rnacentral:rRNA from 1 species
AACGCGAAGAACCUUACCCAGGCUGAACUACUAGUGGACGUAUGCAGAGAUGUAUAUUCCCUUCGGGGCCGCUAGAUAGGUGCUGCAUGGCUGUCGUCAGCUCGUGCCGUGAGGUGUUGGGUUAAGUCCCGCAACGAGCGCAACCCUUAUCACUACUUGCCAACAGGUAAUGCUGGGAACUUUAGUGAGACUGCCUGGGUUAACCAGGAGGAAGGUGAGGAUGACGUCAAGUCAGCAUGGCCCUUAUGUCUGGGGCUACACACGUGCUACAAUGGCCGGUACAGAAGGCAGCGAAGCAGCAAUGUGGAGCAAAUCUAGAAAGCCGGCCCCAGUUCGGAUUGUAGUCUGCAACUCGACUACAUGAAGUUGGAAUUGCUAGUAAUGGCGUGUCAGCAAUAACGCCGUGAAUACGUUCCCGGGUCUGUACACACCG